rnacentral:rRNA from 1 species
CCUACGGGCGGCAGCAGUGAGGAAUAUUGGUCAAUGGACGAGAGUCUGAACCAGCCAAGUAGCGUGAAGGAUGACUGCCCUAUGGGUUGUAAACUUCUUUUAUGUGGGAAUAAAAUGUUCCACGUGUGGGAUUUUGUAUGUACCAUAUGAAUAAGGAUCGGCUAACUCCGUGCCAGCAGCCGCGGUAAUACGGAGGAUCCGAGCGUUAUCCGGAUUUAUUGGGUUUAAAGGGAGCGUAGGUGGAUUGUUAAGUCAGUUGUGAAAGUUUGCGGCUCAACCGUAAAAUUGCAGUUGAAACUGGCAGUCUUGAGUACAGUAGAGGUGGGCGGAAUUCGUGGUGUAGCGGUGAAAUGCUUAGAUAUCACGAAGAACUCCGAUUGCGAAGGCAGUUCACUGGACUGCAACUGACACUGAGGCUCGAAAGUGUGGGUAUCAAACAGGAUUAGAUACCCCAGUAGUC